rnacentral:rRNA from 1 species
UAAAAAAUUUGGCGGUAUUUUAGUCUAUUCAGAGGAACUUGUUCUAUAAUCGAUAAUCCACGAUGGACCUUACUUAAAUUUGUAUUCAGUUUAUAUACCGUCGUUAUUAGAAUAUUUUAAAAGAAUGUUAAUUUUCAUAAUUUUAAAAAAGAAAAUAUAUCAGAUCAAGGUGUAGCUAAUGUUUAAGUAGAAAUGAGUUACAAUAAAUUUAUUUAAACGGAUUUAAAUUUGAAAUAUUUAUUGAAGGUGGAUUUGAUAGUAAAAUUAUAAAGAUUAAUAAUUUGAUUUUAGCUCUAAAAUAUGUACACAUCGCCCGUCACUCUUAUUAUUAAGGUAAGAUAAGUCGUAACAUAGUAGAUGUACUGGAAAGUGUAUCUAGAAUGCAAUUUAAAGCUUAAAUAGUAAAGUAUUUCAUUUACAUUGAAAAGAUUUUUGUGCAAAUCAAUAUAAAUUGAUUAAUUUUUAUUUAUUAAUUUUUUUUUUAAAAAAAAUAUUUUAUUAAAAAUAAUUAUAAAAUUUAUUGUUUAAGUAUUUUAUAAAGAAAAAAUAAUUUUAAUUAUAGUUUAAUAGUAUUGUAAAAGAAUAUUGAAAUAUUUUGAAAAAUUAUUAUAUAAAAAGAAAAUUUA